AGAGUUGAUCAUGGCGUCAGGACGAACGCUGGCGGCGUGCUUAACACAUGGCAAGUCGAACGGGGAUAUGCGAGCGGAAGGCUUCGGCCGGAAGGUUGCAUAUUCGAGUGGCGGACGGGUGAGUAACGCGUGAACAAUCUGUCCCAGACAGGGGGAUAACACUUGGAAACAGGUGCUAAUACCGCAUGAGACCACGGAGUCGCAUGGCACUGGGGUAAAAGGAGCAAUCCGGUUUGGGGUGAGUUCGCGUCCGAUUAGCCAGUUGGUGAGGUAACGGCCCACCAAAGCGACGAUCGGUAGCCGACCUGAGAGGGUGAUCGGCCACAUUGGAACUGAGAGACGGUCCAAACUCCUACGGGAGGCAGCAGUGGGGAAUAUUGGGCAAUGGGGCGAAAGCCUGACCCAGCAACGCCGCGUGAGUGAAGAAGGCCUUCGGGUUGUAAAGCUCUGUUAUAGGGGACGAAGGAAGUGACGGUACCCUAUAAGGAAGCCCCGGCUAACUACGUGCCAGCCGCCGC
rnacentral:rRNA from 1 species